rnacentral:rRNA from 1 species
CCAGUGGAAGUAAAAGUCGUAACAAGGUUUCCGUAGGUGAACCUGCGGAAGGAUCAUUGUCGGAACCCUGCCCCGCAGAACGACCCGCGAACCAGUUUCUCCACGGGCACGGGGGGAGCACUCGCCCCCCUCGGCCAGCCGCUGGGAGCGGCCCGUGCGGUCGCUGCCCUCGCCGCACGAACAAAACCCCGGCGCCGGACGCGCCAAGGACCCACGAAAGAAAAAGAGCACGCCCGAUCGGCCCGGGAACGGGGCGAGGGGCGUGGCAUCUUUCGCUAUGAGCGGAAAAA